CUGAGGAUGGUAUUUUGUGUUUUUCUUCGUCGGCACACUGAGUUAAUGUGAGUCCCCACAUACAGUCUGAAGUGAUGCAGCCCAGAUGCAGGUUUACUACCAUAGCUGCUGUUUACGAGAACCAGUCCUGUGUCAACUGAAUCGGUAUAUAUCAUCUGAGAGAAAAAGAGCCCCUGAAAGGUAAACAAUAAUCAUUGCCAAGCUGGAGAGAGCAGAAGGGAGCAAGUAGGCCGCAGCCUCUUGAGCAGGAACAGCAGUAGCAGUGAACACAAAAUGAAUGGACGCCUGGGAAAAGAGCACCAAUGAGAAGA